GGAAUCUUGCGCAAUGGGCGAAAGCCUGACGCAGCAACGCCGCGUGCGGGAUGAAGGCCUUAGGGUUGUAAACCGCUUUCAGCAGGGAAGAAAAUGACUGUACCUGCAGAAGAAGGUGCGGCCAACUACGUGCCAGCAGCCGCGGUGACACGUAGGCACCAAGCGUUGUCCGGAUUUAUUGGGCGUAAAGAGCUCGUAGGCGGUUCAGUUAGUUGGGUGUGAAAACUCCGGGCUUAACCCGGAGCCGCCACCCAAUACUGCUGUGACUAGAGUUCGGUAGGGGAGCGGGGAAUUCCUAGUGUAGCGGUGAAAUGCGCAGAUAUUAGGAGGAACACCGGUGGCGAAGGCGCCGCUCUGGGCCGAAACUGACGCUGAGGAGCGAAAGCAUGGGUAGCAAACAGGAUUAGAUACCCUGGUAGUCCAUGCCGUAAACGUUGGGCACUAGGUGUGGGCUUCAUCCAACGAAGUCCGCGCCGUCGCUAACGCAUUAAGUGCCCCGCCUGGGGAGUACGGUCGCAAGACUAAAACUCAAAUGAAUUGACGG
rnacentral:rRNA from 1 species